GACGAACGCUGGCGGCGUGCCUAAUACAUGCAAGUCGGACGCAAUUGCGAACGGGUGAGUAACGCGUCGGUAACUGCCUAUUAGAGGGGGCUAACUAUUGGAAACGAUAGCUAAUACCGCAUACUAGUAGAUGGACCUGCGUUGUAUUAGGUAGUAGGUAGGGUAAUGGGCUACCUAGGCAACGAUAAAUAGCCGAACUUGGAGGGGGGUCGGGCACACUGGGAAGGAGGCACGGGCCAGAAUCCUUAGGGAGGGAGCAGUAGGGAAUAUUCGGCAAAGGGGGGAACCCUGGACGAGCAACGCCGCGGGAGUGAAGAAGGUUUUUGGGUCGGAAAGCUCUGUUGUUAGGGAAGCGGUACUUAACCAGAAAGGGACGGCUAACUACGUGCCAGCAGCCGCGGUAAUAC
rnacentral:rRNA from 1 species